rnacentral:rRNA from 1 species
GUAAGGAAUAUUGGUCAAUGGAGGCAACUCUGAACCAGCCAUGCCGCGUGCAGGAUGAAGGCCCUAUGGGUCGUAAACUGCUUUUAUACCAGAGAAAACCCUCGUACGUGUACGAGGCUGAUAGUAUGGUAAGAAUAAGCAUCGGCUAACUUCGUGCCAGCAGCCGCGGUAAGACGAAGGAUGCAAGCGUUAUCCGGAUUCAUUGGGUUUAAAGGGUGCGUAGGCGGACUUGUAAGUCAGUGGUGAAAUCUCUUUGCUUAACAAAGAAACUGCCAUUGAUACUGCUAGUCUAGAGUAUAGAUGACGUUGGCGGAAUAUGACAUGUAGUGGUGAAAUACUUAGAUAUGUCAUAGAACACCGAUUGCGAAGGCAGCUAACGAAACUAUAACUGACGCUGAGGCACGAAAGUGCGGGGAUCAAACAGGAUUAGAUACCCGUGUAGUCC